UACGUAGGGCGCAAGCGUUAUCCGGAAUUAUUGGGCGUAAAGAGCUCGUAGGCGGUUUGUCGCGUCUGCCGUGAAAGUCCGGGGCUCAACUCCGGAUCUGCGGUGGGUACGGGCAGACUAGAGUGAUGUAGGGGAGACUGGAAUUCCUGGUGUAGUGGUGAAAUGCGUAGAGAUCCGGAGGAACCCCAGAGGCGAAGGCGGCAUCCUGGCCCACGACUGACGCUCAGACACGACAGCAUGGGGAGCGAACGGG
rnacentral:rRNA from 1 species